rnacentral:lncRNA from 1 species
AUGACAGUGGUUGGUCAGCAGCCUCUUACUGUCACGGGUCCGGGAAGCACCUUAAAUGUAAACCGCGUCAAUCCUAGGGUCACACAGCGAUUCUCACCGUCAUGCACCCACCACUCGGACGCAUAUUUCGAGAUCAAACAAGGCAGGACGGGAGCCCAGCUGGAAGGUGCCUUCUCCCCACCCGCGCAGGUCUGCACAGGGCCCCCAGAGGGGCACCCAGGCCCCAGGCCCCCUGAGCUUGGGGACCCCAGCCCCAGGCAGAGCCCAGAGAUGUCACGAGGGGCACGUGAGCCACCGGAGGGACUCCCGGUCGGCACCAGAGCCCGUGCCCACGCUCUCUCCAGCCCCAUGGGGCUGUGCCGCCCCCCAGGUGGGUGGACCCCGCGGCAGAGCACGCAGGUGGGGGGCAGGGGGUCUGGCGGAGGGUGCAGACCCGGAGUGCGGAGCCAGCGUGGAUGGGAGACCAGGCGCCGCAGGACCCCGCUCCGAAGUCAGGGUGGGCCCCUGCCCUUGGGGUUGCGGGGAGGGCGAGGGGCCAUUCUCUGGUGGAAGGACGGCCACGGCCCCCAGCUCCCGCGAUCAGGGCGGGGCUGCGCCGGGGCGGGGGGCUCGGCUUCUCCCUCCUCCCAGAGAGGAAGGAGGACUCCAGGCCUUUUCGCACAUCUUGUGUGUGGUUUCUCUGCUGUCAACAAUCAACAGGGUGACAGAAGGCGGAGCUGGCCCCGCGCAGCCCUGAAGGCGGUGUCCUGGGAGGAGCCGCUCCCCCCGCCCCUCCCGUCCCCGCCCCUCCCGUCCCCGCCCCUCCCGUCCCCCCGCCCCUCCCGUCCCCCACCAGUCCCCGCCCCCUCCCCCUCCCGUCCCCCAGGGUGCGGGGAGGACCCUCGCCCCCCAGGACGGCGAGCCCCGCCCACACCUGCCGCGCGACCCGCUCCCCGGAAAGCCCGGCGCCUGCGCGGGGAGGACUCGCACCCCGCUCCGGGGCCCAGCUCCCGCCUGCGUCCCCAGCCGCGGGCCCCCAGCUCGGCCUCCCGGGGACUCUUCUCCUGUAAGCGGGGCAGCGGGGCAGCGGGGCAGCGGGGCGCGGCGGAGGGCCGGGAGGCUCCCGGGCAACGUGGCUGUGGGGACCGGCCGCUCCCCCUCCGCGGGGGCGCCAGUGCGCGGCCCAGGCCAGCGGGUGUGGACUCGCCUGGCUCUUCCGGCUCAGGGCUCGGCUUCUCCACCCCAGGGAGGCGGGGCCCCCCGGGGCGCGGCUGGCUCUGGGCGCCCACAGGCCGGGACGGCGGGAGCGGCAGGAGCACCGUCCACUGCGCCCGCGGCGGGCAGGCGCUCGCAGAAUCCAGCGCUCCCGGAAUCAAGUGGGCAUCGACGCGGAUCCUGACAGGCUGCAGCACUUAA